rnacentral:rRNA from 1 species
UACGAAGGGGGCUAGCGUUGCUCGGAUUGACUGGGCGUAAAGGGCGCGUAGGCGGUUCGUACAGUCAGACGUGAAAUUCCUGGGCUCAACCUGGGGGCUGCGUUUGAUACGUGCGGACUUGAGUGCGGAAGAGGUCGUGGAAUUCCCAGUGUAGAGGUGAAAUUCGUAGAUAUUGGGAAGAACACCGGUGGCGAAGGCGGCGACCUGGUCCGAUACUGGACGCUGAGGCGCGAAAGCGUGGGGAGCAAACAGG